rnacentral:rRNA from 1 species
CUAGCCCAUGACACCUUGCUUAGCCACCCCCCCAAGGGAACUCAGCAGUGAUAGACAUUAAGCCAUAAGUGAAAACUUGACUUAUUUAAAGUUAAAAGGGCCGGUAAAUUUCGUGCCAGCCACCGCGGUUAUACGAGAGGCCCAAGUUAACAGAUUCCGGCGUAAAGUGUGGUUAAGGAUUAAACUUAACUAAAGCCGAAGGCUUUCAGAGCUGUUAUACGCAAAUGAAAAGCUGAAGCCCAACCACGAAAGUGGCUUUAAUAACCCUGACGCCCCGAAAGCUACGGAACAAACUGGGAUUAAAUACCCCACUAUGCGUAGCCGUAAACAUUGAUAGCACUUUAUAUUCUCUAUCCGCCUGGGAACUACGAGCAACAGCUUAAAACCCAAUGGACUUGGCGGUGCUUUAAACCCCCCUAGAGGAGCCUGUUCU